UACAGAGGCCUCGAGCGUUAGGCGGAAUCACUGGGCUUAAAGCGUGUGUAGGCGGACUUCUAAGUACCUUGUGAAAUCCCACGGCUCACCCGUGGAACUGCUCGGUAUACUGGUCGUCUUGAGCCUUCUAGGGGCGAGUGGAACAAAUGGUGGAGCGGUGAAAUGCGUAGAUAUCAUUUGGAACGCCAAUGGUGAAAACAACUCGCUGGGGAAGUGCUGACGCUGAGACACGAAAGCUAGGGGAGCAAACGGG
rnacentral:rRNA from 1 species